GAUGAACGCUGGCGGCGUGCCUAAUACAUGCAAGUCGAGCGGACGGACGCGUAGCUUGCUGCUCUGAUUUUAGCGGCGGACGGGUGGGUAACACGUGGAUAGCCUCCUUAUCACACUUGGUUAACUUCGGCAAGCCGGUGCUACUACCACAUGAUAUUUUGAGCCUCUCGGUUGAAAGGUGUGAGACGGUCUUGCUGUCAGUGAUGGAUGGACCCGCGCCGCAUUAGCUAGUUGGUGAGGUAACGGCGUACCAAGGCAACGAUGCAUAGCCGACCUGAGAGGGUGGUCGGCCGCACUGGAACGGAGACACCGUCCAGACUACUACGAGAGGCAGCAGUAGGGGAUCUUACGCAAUGGGGGGAGGCAGGACGGAGCAACGACGCGGCGGUGAUGAAGGUCUUCGGAUGGUAGAACUCUGUUUUUGGGGAAGAACAAAUGUGGAAGUGACUGUGCACAGCUUGACGGUACCUAAACAGAAAGCCACGGCUAACUACGUG
rnacentral:rRNA from 1 species